GAUGAACGCUGGCGGCGUGCCUAAUACAUGCAAGUCGAGCGAACGGACGAGAAGCUUGCUUCUCUGAUGUUAGCGGCGGACGGGUGAGUAACACGUGGAUAACCUACCUAUAAGACUGGGAUAACUUCGGGAAACCGGCGCUAAUACCGGAUAAUAUUUUGAACCGCAUGGUUCAAAAGUGAAAGACGGUCUUGCUGUCACUUAUAGAUGGAUCCGCGCUGCAUUAGCUAGUUGGUAAGGUAACGGCUUACCAAGGCAACGAUGCAUAGCCGACCUGAGAGGGUGAUCGGCCACACUGGAACUGAGACACGGUCCAGACUCCUACGGGAGGCAGCAGUAGGGAAUCUUCCGCAAUGGGCGAAAGCAUGACGGAGCAACGCCGCGUGAGUGAUGAAGGUCUUCGGAUCGUAAAACUCUGUUAUUAGGGAAGAACAUAUGUGUAAGUAACUGUGCACAUCUUGACGGUACCUAAUCAGAAAGCCACGGCUAACUACGUG
rnacentral:rRNA from 1 species